CCUACGGGAGGCAGCAGUGGGGAAUCUUGCGCAAUGGGCGAAAGCCUGACGCAGCAACGCCGCGUGCGGGAUGAAGGCCUUCGGGUUGUAAACCGCUUUCAGCAGGGACGAAGAUGACGGUACCUGCAGAAGAAGCCCCGGCCAACUACGUGCCAGCAGCCGCGGUAACACGUAGGGGGCGAGCGUUGUCCGGAUUUAUUGGGCGUAAAGAGCUCGUAGGCGGUUCCGUCAGUCGGGUGUGAAAACUCUGGGCUCAACCCAGAGACGCCACCCGAUACUGCGGUGACUAGAGUCCGGUAGGGGAGUGCGGAAUUCCUGGUGUAGCGGUGAAAUGCGCAGAUAUCAGGAGGAACACCAACGGCGAAGGCAGCACUCUGGGCCGGUACUGACGCUGAGGAGCGAAAGCGUGGGGAGCGAACAGGAUUAGAUACCCUGGUAGUCCACGCCGUAAACGUUGGGCACUAGGUGUGGGACCUUUCCAACGGGUUCCGUGCCGCAGCUACGACAUAGUCGCCCGCCGUCGGGUAGGUACGGCCGCGACGGACGUAAACUACAAUAGAAGUUAGACGGCGUGAGACGUCGCCGACGGACGACGACGAGGGAGUAGG
rnacentral:rRNA from 1 species